GUCUUGCGGCGUAUUAGCUUGUUGGUAGGGUAGAAGCCUACCAAGGCAAUGAUGCGUAGCCGAGUUGAGAGACUGGCCGGCCACAUUGGGACUGAGACACUGCCCAAACUCCUACGGGAGGCUGCAGUAGGGAAUUUUCCGCAAUGCACGAAAGUGUGACGGAGCGACGCCGCGUGUGUGAUGAAGGCUUUCGGGUCGUAAAGCACUGUUGUAAGGGAAGAAUAACUGAAUUCAGAGAAAGUUUUCAGCUUGACGGUACCUUACCAGAAAGGGAUGGCUAAAUACGUGCCAGCAGCCGCGGUAAUACGUAUGUCCCGAGCGUUAUCCGGAUUUAUUGGGCGUAAAGCGAGCGCAGACGGUUUAUUAAGUCUGAUGUGAAAUCCCGAGGCCCAACCUCGGAACUGCAUUGGAAACUGAUUUACUUGAGUGCGAUAGAGGCAAGUGGAACUCCAUGUGUAGCGGUGAAAUGCGUAGAUAUGUGGAAGAACACCAGUGGCGAAAGCGGCUUGCUAGAUCGUAACUGACGUUGAGGCUCGAAAGUAUGGGUAGCAAACGGGAUUAGAUACCCCGGUAGUCCAUACCGUAAACGAUGGGUGCUAGUUGUUAAGAGGUUUCCGCCUCCUAGUGACGUAGCAAACGCAUUAAGCACCCCGCCUGAGGAGUACGGCCGCAAGGCUAAAACUUAAAGGAAUUGACGGGGACCCGCACAAGCGGUGGAGCAUGUGGUUUAAUUCGAAGAUACGCGAAAAACCUUACCAGGUCUUGACAUACCAAUGAUCGCUUUUGUAAUGAAAGCUUUUCUUCGGAACAUUGGAUACAGGUGGUGCAUGGUCGUCGUCAGCUCGUGUCGUGAGAUGUUGGGUUAAGUCCCGCAACGAGCGCAACCCUUGUUAUUAGUUGCCAGCAUUUAGUUGGGCACUCUAAUGAGACUGCCGGUGAUAAACCGGAGGAAGGUGGGGACGACGUCAGAUCAUCAUGCCCCUUAUGACCUGGGCAACACACGUGCUACAAUGGGAAGUACAAC
rnacentral:rRNA from 1 species